rnacentral:rRNA from 1 species
UAGGGAAUCUUCGGCAAUGGACGGAAGUCUGACCGAGCAACGCCGCGUGAGUGAAGAAGGUUUUCGGAUCGUAAAGCUCUGUUGUAAGAGAAGAACGAGUGUGAGAGUGGAAAGUUCACACUGUGACGGUAUCUUACCAGAAAGGGACGGCUAACUACGUGCCAGCAGCCGCGGUAAUACGUAGGUCCCGAGCGUUAUCCGGAUUUAUUGGGCGUAAAGCGAGCGCAGGCGGUUAGAUAAGUCUGAAGUUAAAGGCUGUGGCUUAACCAUAGUACGCUUUGGAAACUGUUUAACUUGAGUGCAGAAGGGGAGAGUGGAAUUCCAUGUGUAGCGGUGAAAUGCGUAGAUAUAUGGAGGAACACCGGUGGCGAAAGCGGCUCUCUGGUCUGUAACUGACGCUGAGGCUCGAAAGCGUGGGGAGCAAACAGGACUAGAUACCCUGGUAGUCCACGCCGUAAACGAUGAGUGCUAGGUGUUGGGUCCUUUCCGGGACUCAGUGCCGCAGCUAACGCAUUAAGCACUCCGCCUGGGGAGUACGACCGCAAGGUUG